rnacentral:rRNA from 1 species
UCCUACGGGAGGCAGCAGUAAGGAAUAUUGGUCAAUGGAGGCAACUCUGAACCAGCCAUGCCGCGUGAAGGAUGAAGGCCCUAUGGGUUGUAAACUUCUUUUAUACGGGAAGAAACCUCCGCACGUGUGCGGAGCUGACGGUACUGUAAGAAUAAGGAUCGGCUAACUCCGUGCCAGCAGCCGCGGUAAUA